rnacentral:lncRNA from 1 species
CUCUAUUUCUUAACCUCAUAUUUCAGCUUCGACUCGUUAUGCUCAGGAGCUUCAACAAAGCCCUAAAGUCUCUUGCUGCCUCAAACUUGAACCAUUAUUAUUAUGCUAUAUUUGAUAUAGCAGAAUAUAUCGCACAAAAGCAAAGGGCACAUAUAAAAACAAUAAGAUUUAACAAUAUUUUGAAAAUAUCAAACCCAAAUUAUAAAUAAAGUGGAAGAAUC